rnacentral:rRNA from 1 species
UACAGAGGGUGCAAGCGUUGUUCGGAAUUACUGGGCGUAAAGCGCGCGCAGGCGGGUUUGUAAGUCGGAAGUGAAAUCUCACUGCUCAACGGUGGGGCUGCUUCUAAUACUGCAAAUCUUGAGACCGGUAGAGGUUGGUAGAAUUGCAGGUGUAGCGGUGGAAUGCGUAGAGAUCUGCAAGAAUACCCGUGGCGAAGGCGGCCAACUGGGCCGGUUCUGACGCUGAGGUGCGAAAGCGUGGGGAGCGAACAGG